UCGAGGCUCUGUCCGCCUGAGGGGGAAGAAGAGAAAGCAAAUGCCUUUGGAACACAUCAUGGAAGUUUCUCAGCGUUUUCGACCUCGCAGGGGGGGUUCGUUGUAAUUGAGUUUCCCUGGGGCGUUUCGGUUCGCAGAGUCACCUUCAACUCGCCACCUUCAAGGAGGGUUGGCAGAUAUUUCGGGAAGGUGGAAGCCCCGUGAGGAAUCGGAUACCUGUACCUCGUCCUCAGAGGAGCGAGUGGUGGACAGCCCUCCUCAGCCAGGGACUCCUGUACUAAAAUGUUCCCGUGACCGAGAGCCAUUCCACAUAUUUUGGAGGGUCAACAGGAGGGGAAAGAAACCUUUAGUGCUGUUCUGGAGCCAGAGAAAAGUAAAAGGGAAGCCCCAAAGCCACUUCCUCUCCUAGUUUUAACAGUCCCUAUGUCCUGGCAGUUGUCCCUACCGUCAGCCUUCGGGAUACUGUCAGAAGAAGAGUCCAGGUGUCGUCAGCUCUGGGAUCGAGGAAGUGGUGUGGCCAUAACAGAGCUGUCUUGUGAUCCUGUGACAACCCAUCCUUGGCAAAAGGCCAGCGUGGCGAGCCUGCACUUCUUGGCAGACAGCCUGUGUUGCGUUCCCAGCUUAACACAGAGGGAUGUACGCAACAAAAUUCUUAUCCGAGAACAGUGAUGGCUUUUGUCUCAACCCUUAAGACACCUACAUCCCAAGAGAAGGUAGGGUGUGGACAGGGUGCAGACUCCUCUGGGUAAGCAUAAGACAGUGGGGGAUGUUCAUUCUCUACAGAGAGGCCUGAAUUAUACCUUAUACUGGUUAUGUCCUCAACCUAUAGCCAACACUGAGCUUUCAGAUUCAG